AUUGAACGCUGGCGGCAGGCCUAACACAUGCAAGUCGAGCGGAGCGGCGGACGGGUGAGUAAUGCCUAGGAAUCUGCCUGGUAGUGGGGGAUAACGUCCGGUAACGGGCGCUAAUACCGCAUCCUCUUACAUGAGCCUAGGUCGGAUUUGCUUGUGGGUGGGGAAAAGGCAUACAAAGGCGACGAUCCGUAACUGGUCUGAGAGUAUGAUCAGUCACACUGGAACUGAGACACGGUCCAGACUCCUACGGGAGGCAGCAGUGGGGAAUAUUGGACAAUGGGCGAAAGCCUGAUCCAGCCAUGCCGCGUGUGUGAAGAAGGUCUUCGGAUUGUAAAGCACUUUAAGUUGGGAGGCGUUACCAACAGAAGAAGCACCGGCUAACUUCGUGCCAGCCGCCGCGGUAAUUC
rnacentral:rRNA from 1 species